rnacentral:rRNA from 1 species
AUUGAACGCUGGCGGCAGGCCUAACACAUGCAAGUCGAACGGUAGCACAGAGAGCUUGCUCUCGGGUGAUGAGUGGCGGACGGGUGAGUAAUGUCUGGGAAACUGCCCGAUGGAGGGGGAUAACUACUGGAAACGGUAGCUAAUACCGCAUAACGUCGCAAGACCAAAGUGGGGGACCUUCGGGCCUCACACCAUCGGAUGUGCCCAGAUGGGAUUAGCUAGUAGGUGGGGUAAUGGCUCACCUAGGCGACGAUCCCUAGCUGGUCUGAGAGGAUGACCAGCCACACUGGAACUGAGAAACGGUCCAGACUCCUACGGGAGGCAGCAGUGGGGAAUAUUGCACAAUGGGCGCAAGCCUGAUGCAGCCAUGCCGCGUGUAUGAAGAAGGCCUUCGGGUUGUAAAGUACUUUCAGCGGGGAGGAAGGCGGUGAAGUUAAUAACUUCACCGAUUGACGUUACCCGCAGAAGAAGCACCGGCUAACUCCGUGCCAGCCGCCGCCGUAA